AUCAAACAGGAUUAGAUACCCUGGUAGUCCACACGGUAAACGAUGAAUACUCGCUGUUUGCGAUAUACUGCAAGCGGCCAAGCGAAAGCGUUAAGUAUUCCACCUGGGGAGUACGCCGGCAACGGUGAAACUCAAAGGAAUUGACGGGGGCCCGCACAAGCGGAGGAACAUGUGGUUUAAUUCGAUGAUACGCGAGGAACCUUACCCGGGCUUAAAUUGCAGAUGAAUUACGGUGAAAGCCGUAAGCCGCAAGGCAUCUGUGAAGGUGCUGCAUGGUUGUCGUCAGCUCGUGCCGUGAGGUGUCGGCUUAAGUGCCAUAACGAGCGCAACCCUUGUUGUCAGUUACUAACAGGUUUUGCUGAGGACUCUGACAAGACUGCCAUCGUAAGAUGUGAGGAAGGUGGGGAUGACGUCAAAUCAGCACGGCCCUUACGUCCGGGGCUACACACGUGUUACAAUGGGGGGUACAGAGGGCCGCUACCACGCGAGUGGAUGCCAAUCCCCAAAACCUCUCUCAGUUCGGACUGGAGUCUGCAACCCGACUCCACGAAGCUGGAUUCGCUAGUAAUCGCGCAUCAGCCACGGCGCGGUGAAUACGUUCCCGGGCCUUGUACACACCGCCCGUCAAGCCAUGGGAGCCGGGGGUACCUGAAGUGCGUAACCGCGAGGAGCGCCCUAGGGUAAAACUGGUGACUGGGGCUAAGUCGUAACAAGGUAGCCGUACCGGAAGGUGCGGCUG
rnacentral:rRNA from 1 species